rnacentral:rRNA from 1 species
GAGUAGUAGAAGUUAAGGUCUCAAAACUCAAAAAAUUUGGCGGUACUUUAUCUUAUUAGAGGAACCUGUUUAUUAAUUGAUAAUCCACAACUUUAAUUUACUUUUAUUAAUUUAUUUGUAUAUCGUUGUCAUGAAUGUACUAAAAAGUAAUUUUCAAAAUUUUUUAUAAAAUUUAUGUUAGAUCAAGAUGCAGUCUAUAAAAGAAAAAAUGGGUUACAUUAGUUAAUAUGAAUGAAAAAUAAGUCUAUAAAAUUAUUGAAAAGAGGAUUUAAAAGUAAAGAAAAAUUAAUAAAGAUUUUUUAUGAAUUUAGAUUCUAAAGUAUG